AUUGAACGCUGGCGGCAUGCUUUACACAUGCAAGUCGAACGGCAGCGCGGGCUUCGGCCUGGCGGCGAGUGGCGAACGGGUGAGUAAUGCAUCGGAACGUGCCCAGUAGUGGGGGAUAGCCCGGCGAAAGCCGGAUUAAUACCGCAUACGACCUGAGGGUGAAAGCGGGGGACCGAAAGGCCUCGCGCUAUUGGAGCGGCCGAUGUCGGAUUAGCUAGUUGGUGGGGUAAAGGCUUACCAAGGCGUCGAUCCGUAGCUGGUCUGAGAGGACGACCAGCCACACUGGGACUGAGACACGGCCCAGACUCCUACGGGAGGCAGCAGUGGGGAAUUUUGGACAAUGGGGGCAACCCUGAUCCAGCCAUGCCGCGUGAGGGAAGAAGGCCUUCGGGUUGUAAACCGCUUUUGUUCGGGAAGAAAUCCUCUGGGCUAAUACCCCGGGGGGAUGACGGUACCGGAAGAAUAAGCACCGGCUAACUACGUG
rnacentral:rRNA from 1 species